rnacentral:lncRNA from 1 species
AUAAGUAGAUACUUGCCUGGUGACUUCUAUCAGAAUCUCUGUGUAUAAUUCUGAAAGAGGCAGGUCCUUUAGGAGGUACUCCAGAAGAAGGCGUAAUUACCUGAGGAGAUGACAGCUCUAUAUGCGUUAUGGCCCCUUGAAGACCUUUCAGUGGACAAGAUAUGGAGGUGGAAGACAGUGAUAUUGAUAAUCCUGACUCCGCGUAGGCCGAGGCUAACGGGAAAUGUCAAGCCGGAUUCACUCUGUGUAAAGAUUGAAGGAGAAGCAGAGCUGAAAAAAUCAAUAUCCCUGAGCCUAAAAAGAUCAGAAUACAGCCAUACACUAUUACAAAAUGUCAAGGUAAUAUAUGAAGAAUACAGAGAAAGAAGAUAGGAGGUGAAGACUGAACCCAUUUGCCUUUGAGGGAGCAGGACACUUGGACAGCAUUCUCACUCUUUGUGGCCAAAUGAAUUCAUCUAUUUCUUAUAAUCUUCUUAAUGCAACAGACACCUGAGCCAUGUACUCCUCCUGAUGGAUCGCAGGAGCAUAAGAUGGUAAGCCGAAACACAGAAUACAUCGCAAAGCCCAUCCUUGAAACUAGGACACUGUCCAUCAGCUACAAGUCCUAUGAUUGAGUCCAUCAAAGGUGAAGUAGAUGGAACUCCAUAUAGACAAAAAUAAAGGUGACAGUUGAUUCUGAAUAAAUGAAUCCUUUCAUGUAGAGAACUUCUGGGGAGAAGUGCAGAGUGAAAAAAACCAGCACCCAUGACUUCCUCAUAUGGAAUUCUGGGCUGAUGCUCCAUCUGACGCCAGGGAGAUAGCCUGGUAGAAAUGACAACCACAAUGUUAAUACUAACAUAUGUAUUACAUGGCUUGUUUGUUCUUUCGCUUAAUAUUUUCAGAGCACCUACCUAUUACAGGCACUGUACUUCUCACAAAACUGGGACAACUAACUCUUUAUCCAACAUCUGCUGGCUAAAUAAAGACAUGACCUUCACCUUUUGGGAUUGUUAAUUUAAAAUGGUUCCAUAAGAGCAAUGCAAAGACAGAGAUAUUUGGCAGCACUGCAGCUGGUGAUUUAUAUGGCUCUUCACAAGGUGUUACUUUGGGUAUCAAGGUAUGGAUGCUUAAAUCAGCUGCAGGAAGUAAGAAAGAAGAAAAAAGGAGUGAUAAAGAUUAAAAAAAAUCAACCUUGGUCCUUCCACCAAGACCCAUUAAUUUCCAUAUCAUCAUCUGCAUAAGAGGGAAGAUUCCUACAUGACCAGGUUACUGCAAGGAUGUGAAUUUUGAAUAUUAAAAUAUUAUAUACAAUUGGAAA